UGGGGAAUAUUGCACAAUGGGCGCAAGCCUGAUGCAGCCAUGCCGCGUGUAUGAAGAAGGCCUUCGGGUUGUAAAGUACUUUCAGUCGGGAGGAAGGUGGUAAGGUUAAUAACCUUAUCAAUUGACGUUACCGACAGAAGAAGCACCGGCUAACUCCGUGCCAGCAGCCGCGGUAAUACGGAGGGUGCAAGCGUUAAUCGGAAUUACUGGGCGUAAAGCGCACGCAGGCGGUUGAUUGAGUCAGAUGUGAAAUCCCCGGGCUUAACCCGGGAAUUGCAUCUGAUACUGGUCAGCUAGAGUCUUGUAGAGGGGGGUAGAAUUCCAUGUGUAGCGGUGAAAUGCGUAGAGAUGUGGAGGAAUACCGGUGGCGAAGGCGGCCACCUGGACAAAGACUGACGCUCAGGUGCGAAAGCGUGGGGAGCAAACAGG
rnacentral:rRNA from 1 species